rnacentral:rRNA from 1 species
AACGAACGCUGGCGGCAGGCCUAACACAUGCAAGUCGAGCGCUCUCUUCGGAGGGAGCGGCGGACGGGUGAGUAACGCGUGGGAACGUACCUUCUUCUGGGGAAUAGCCACUGGAAACGGUGAUUAAUGCCCCAUACGCCCUUCGGGGAAAGAUUAUCGGAGGAAGAUCGGCCCGCGUCUGAUUAGAUAGUUGGUGGGGUAAUGGCCUACCAAGU